AAUUUUCUGUUAAUUAAAAACAGAAAUUAGGCUGCAUUGAGUUUCCUCAUAUAGCAAUAUACUAGCCACACUACACAAAAAUACAUGUCUUGAGUAAAUAAGAAAAACAUACAAAAUAGAUAUGCUUAGCAUGAAGCUCAGAAACAAAAUUGCAAGCUUGUUUGACUCUGGCAGAUGGGAAUAUUUUUUGAGAAAUUGAUACACUGAAGCGAAAAAACAGAAUUUCAAGACAUACUGACCAAUAGGAAACUGCUGUUUCUUCCAACGAGGAUUUACGUCUGUGAAAAGUGGACUGUCGUGUGUGUGUGUGUAUUAAAGUAAACUGUCACUAUUUUUGACUGAUAAGGUGACACGCUGUCCUUUCCGUAAUUGUGUUAAUUUCACCGUUGUAACUAACAGUUUGAAAUUUGAAAAUAUGUGCUGUGAAAACCUCGAGUUUGGCGAAAUAACUGGUAUUUCAUUGCGAUUUAUUUUAUUUGCUGGAGUAACUGUCAAGUUGUGUGAUUCAGAAGAAGUGACUGAAUUUGGAGAGACAUGUCCGCAGAAGAAAAUGGCAAAGCUUCUGAUGCAAGCAGGGGCUAUGAAGAGGAAUAAUUGUUGUAUGGAGAUGAGAUUUAGGAGAAGGCAGAGGAAGAGGCACCUAAUGGUGACAGUGCAAAGCCCAAGCCGACUGCUGAGGUCCAUGAGACUGAAGUAGUGAAGCAGGAUACAGGUCAGGAAGACCAAGAAAGUGACAGCGACAAUGAGGAUGAUGAUGAUGAUGACAUG